rnacentral:tRNA from 1 species
GCCCUUAUGGUGGAAUGGUAGACACGAUAGAUUCAAGUCCUAUUACGAAAGUGUGAGGGUUCAAGUCCCUCUGAGGGUA